UAGAAGGGACAGUGCUUUAUUUGGGAGGCUAAUAAAAUCCCGGACCUCUAAUUCUCUUUCUUCUUCAAUUCAUCUACUAUCCAUGUCUUUCUUUUUUUCUUCCUCACAUUUUUGUUCACAUUUCUUCCCAUUUCUUCAACCCUGGAAUUCACUCUUCCUGUUGGUAAAUUUUUUUCUUCCCAUUUCUUCAAGCCUCGAAUUUGUUCUUCAGUUCUAAACCCAUGGACAUGGUGGAGGCAGACAUGAAACGAGUAAGGGGCUUGGGUUAUAAUUGAGGCAGAAAUCGAUGUGCCGAUGUUGUGUUGUUGCAAUUCAUCUGAGAUGUGCCAAGAAAUAUUUGUUUCCAGUUGGGUUCUGGCUAUGUGCUGAUGUUGCAAUCUGUUGUGGCGAUGCGUGUGCUGAUGUUGGGUUCUCGCGGUCUCCAUGCAGUAUUGAUGUUUGAGUCUCUGUCAUGGGCG
rnacentral:misc_RNA from 1 species